GGAUGCGAUUAUACCAGCACUAAAGCACCGGAUCCAUCAGAACUCCGAAGUUAAGCGUGCUUGGGCGAGAGUAAUACUAGGAUGGGUGACCUCUUGGGAAGUCCUCGUGUUGCAUUCC
rnacentral:rRNA from 16 species